rfam:Cavia porcellus supercont2_38 genomic scaffold, whole genome shotgun sequence.
CCAAAGGCUCUUUUCAGAGCCACCCACUUCUCCAUAAUGGGAGCUG